UGGGAUGACGUCAAGUCAUCAUGGCCUUAUGUCCAGGGCGACACACGUGCUACAAUGGCCGGCACAGCGGGAAGCGAGGGGGCGACCUUGAGCGGAUCCCUCAAAGCCGGUCUCAGUUCGGAUUGCAGUCUGCAACUCGACUGCAUGAAGUUGGAAUCGCUAGUAAUCGUGGAUCAGCCAAGCCGCGGUGAAUACGUUCCCGGGCCUU
rnacentral:rRNA from 1 species